rnacentral:rRNA from 1 species
UACGGAGGGUGCGAGCGUUAAUCGGAAUGACUGGGCGUAAAGGGUGCGUAGGCGGCCAACUAAGUCAGACGUGAAAUCCCCAGGCUCAACCUGGGAACUGCGUCUGAUACUGGAUGGCUUGAAUCCGGGAGAGGGAUGCAGAAUUCCAGGUGUAGCGGUGAAAUGCGUAGAUAUCUGGAGGAAUACCGGUGGCGAAGGCGGCAUCCUGGACCGGCAUUGACGCUGAGGAGCGAAAGCCAGGGGAGCAAACGGG